rnacentral:rRNA from 1 species
GACGGGGGGGGCAAGUGUUCUUCGGAAUGACUGGGCGUAAAGGGCACGUAGGCGGUGACUCGGGUUGAAAGUGAAAGUCGCCAAAAAGUGGCGGAAUGCUCUCGAAACCAAUUCACUUGAGUGAGACAGAGGAGAGUGGAAUUUCGUGUGUAGGGGUGAAAUCCGUAAAUAUACGAAGGAACGCCAAAAGCGAAGGCAGCUCUCUGGGUCCCUACCGACGCUGGGGUGCGAAAGCAUGGGGAGCGAACAGG